rnacentral:misc_RNA from 1 species
AUUUUGAUGGCAACGCCGCCGUCGACCGUCAAGGGCGGCAGUAGCAGAGAUGGGACAGCAAAAACGAUGGUGGCUGAUCAAAUUACACAGUCUAUACAGUCUACUUCCAAUCUCCUCCAUCUCAUGUUUCAGUCUUCCCCAUCUCAGGCGGAACUGAUGAAGCUACCAAAGAGUCUUUUUGCCAAGACAUCUACUAUCAAGAAUACUGAGCUGGUAUUGGAGCAAUUGCCUCGGGUGAUUUCGUCAUUGGAUGCUCAUAUGGACAACGGGUUACAAUGUGUUCCUCAGCUGAAAACUGUAAUGCAGCUGCUCUCAAACAUAGAAAACUGCCAGCUCAAGACCUUAUCCAGGGCUCAAGCUAUUCAACAGGAGACAGAAUCAGUAGAGCAACCUCCAAAGCGAG